GUUCCCGUGGUGUAGUGGUUAUCACAUCCGCCUAACACGCGGAAGGUCCUCGGUUCGAGGCCGGGCGGGAACA
rnacentral:tRNA from 1 species